UACGGAAGGCAGCAGUGGGGAAUAUUGGACAAUGGGCGCAAGCCUGAUCCAGCCAUGCCGCGUGUGUGAAGAAGGCCUUUUUGGUUGUAAAGCACUUUAAGCGAGGAGGAGGCUCUCUUAGUUAAUACCUAAGAUGAGUGGACGUUACUCGCAGAAUAAGCACCGGCUAACUCUGUGCCAGCAGCCGCGGUAAUACAGAGGGUGCGAGCGUUAAUCGGAUUUUACUGGGCGUAAAGCGUGCGUAGGCGGCUUUUUUAAGUCGGAUGUGAAAUCCCCGAGCUUAACUUGGGAAUUGCAUUCGAUACUGGGAAGCUAGAGUAUGGGAGAGGAUGGUAGAAUUCCAGGUGUAGCGGUGAAAUGCGUAGAGAUCUGGAGGAAUACCGAUGGGCGAAGGGCAGCCAUCUGGGCCUAAAUCUGACGCUGAGGUACGAAAGCAUGGGGAGGCAAACAGGGAUUAGGAUAACCCGG
rnacentral:rRNA from 1 species